rnacentral:rRNA from 1 species
GGGUUGUGAGGUUAAGCGACUAAGCGUACACGGUGGAUGCCCUGGCAGUCAGAGGCGAUGAAGGACGUGCUAAUCUGCGAUAAGCGUCGGUAAGGUGAUAUGAACCGUUAUAACCGGCGAUUUCCGAAUGGGGAAACCCAGUGUGAUUCGUCACACUAUCAUUAACUGAAUCCAUAGGUUAAUGAGGCGAACCGGGGGAACUGAAACAUCUAAGUACCCCGAGGAAAAGAAAUCAACCGAGAUUCCCCCAGUAGCGGCGAGCGAACGGGGAGCAGCCCAGAGCCUGAAUCAGUGUGUGUGUUAGUGGAAGCGUCUGGAAAGGCGCGCGAUACAGGGUGACAGCCCCGUACACAAAAAUGCACAUACUGUGAGCUCGAUGAGUAGGGCGGGACACGUGGUAUCCUGUCUGAAUAUGGGGGGACCAUCCUCCAAGGCUAAAUACUCCUGACUGACCGAUAGUGAACCAGUACCGUGAGGGAAAGGCGAAAAGAACCCCGGCGAGGGGAGUGAAAAAGAACCUGAAACCGUGUACGUACAAGCAGUGGGAGCCUCUUUUAUGGGGUGACUGCGUACCUUUUGUAUAAUGGGUCAGCGACUUAUAUUCUGUAGCAAGGUUAACCGAAUAGGGGAGCCGAAGGGAAACCGAGUCUUAACUGGGCGUUAAGUUGCAGGGUAUAGACCCGAAACCCGGUGAUCUAGCCAUGGGCAGGUUGAAGGUUGGGUAACACUAACUGGAGGACCGAACCGACUAAUGUUGAAAAAUUAGCGGAUGACUUGUGGCUGGGGGUGAAAGGCCAAUCAAACCGGGAGAUAGCUGGUUCUCCCCGAAAGCUAUUUAGGUAGCGCCUCGUGAAUUCAUCUCCGGGGGUAGAGCACUGUUUCGGCAAGGGGGUCAUCCCGACUUACCAACCCGAUGCAAACUGCGAAUACCGGAGAAUGUUAUCACGGGAGACACACGGCGGGUGCUAACGUCCGUCGUGAAGAGGGAAACAACCCAGACCGCCAGCUAAGGUCCCAAAGUCAUGGUUAAGUGGGAAACGAUGUGGGAAGGCCCAGACAGCCAGGAUGUUGGCUUAGAAGCAGCCAUCAUUUAAAGAAAGCGUAAUAGCUCACUGGUCGAGUCGGCCUGCGCGGAAGAUGUAACGGGGCUAAACCAUGCACCGAAGCUGCGGCAGCGACACUAUGUGUUGUUGGGUAGGGGAGCGUUCUGUAAGCCUGUGAAGGUGUGCUGUGAGGUAUGCUGGAGGUAUCAGAAGUGCGAAUGCUGACAUAAGUAACGAUAAAGCGGGUGAAAAGCCCGCUCGCCGGAAGACCAAGGGUUCCUGUCCAACGUUAAUCGGGGCAGGGUGAGUCGACCCCUAAGGCGAGGCCGAAAGGCGUAGUCGAUGGGAAACAGGUUAAUAUUCCUGUACUUGGUGUUACUGCGAAGGGGGGACGGAGAAGGCUAUGUUGGCCGGGCGACGGUUGUCCCGGUUUAAGCGUGUAGGCUGGUUUUCCAGGCAAAUCCGGAAAAUCAAGGCUGAGGCGUGAUGACGAGGCACUACGGUGCUGAAGCAACAAAUGCCCUGCUUCCAGGAAAAGCCUCUAAGCAUCAGGUAACAUCAAAUCGUACCCCAAACCGACACAGGUGGUCAGGUAGAGAAUACCAAGGCGCUUGAGAGAACUCGGGUGAAGGAACUAGGCAAAAUGGUGCCGUAACUUCGGGAGAAGGCACGCUGAUAUGUAGGUGAAGUCCCUUGCGGAUGGAGCUGAAAUCAGUCGAAGAUACCAGCUGGCUGCAACUGUUUAUUAAAAACACAGCACUGUGCAAACACGAAAGUGGACGUAUACGGUGUGACGCCUGCCCGGUGCCGGAAGGUUAAUUGAUGGGGUUAGCGGUAACGCGAAGCUCUUGAUCGAAGCCCCGGUAAACGGCGGCCGUAACUAUAACGGUCCUAAGGUAGCGAAAUUCCUUGUCGGGUAAGUUCCGACCUGCACGAAUGGCGUAAUGAUGGCCAGGCUGUCUCCACCCGAGACUCAGUGAAAUUGAACUCGCUGUGAAGAUGCAGUGUACCCGCGGCAAGACGGAAAGACCCCGUGAACCUUUACUAUAGCUUGACACUGAACAUUGAGCCUUGAUGUGUAGGAUAGGUGGGAGGCUUUGAAGUGUGGACGCCAGUCUGCAUGGAGCCGACCUUGAAAUACCACCCUUUAAUGUUUGAUGUUCUAACGUUGGCCCCUGAUCGGGGUUGCGGACAGUGUCUGGUGGGUAGUUUGACUGGGGCGGUCUCCUCCUAAAGAGUAACGGAGGAGCACGAAGGUUGGCUAAUCCUGGUCGGACAUCAGGAGGUUAGUGCAAUGGCAUAAGCCAGCUUGACUGCGAGCGUGACGGCGCGAGCAGGUGCGAAAGCAGGUCAUAGUGAUCCGGUGGUUCUGAAUGGAAGGGCCAUCGCUCAACGGAUAAAAGGUACUCCGGGGAUAACAGGCUGAUACCGCCCAAGAGUUCAUAUCGACGGCGGUGUUUGGCACCUCGAUGUCGGCUCAUCACAUCCUGGGGCUGAAGUAGGUCCCAAGGGUAUGGCUGUUCGCCAUUUAAAGUGGUACGCGAGCUGGGUUUAGAACGUCGUGAGACAGUUCGGUCCCUAUCUGCCGUGGGCGCUGGAGAACUGAGGGGGGCUGCUCCUAGUACGAGAGGACCGGAGUGGACGCAUCACUGGUGUUCGGGUUGUCAUGCCAAUGGCACUGCCCGGUAGCUAAAUGCGGAAGAGAUAAGUGCUGAAAGCAUCUAAGCACGAAACUUGCCCCGAGAUGAGUUCUCCCUGACUCCUUGAGAGUCCUGAAGGAACGUUGAAGACGACGACGUUGAUAGGCCGGGUGUGUAAGCGCAGCGAUGCGUUGAGCUAACCGGUACUAAUGAACCGUGAGGCUUAACCUUACAACGCCGAAG